rnacentral:rRNA from 1 species
UACGUAGGGUGCAAGCGUUGUCCGGAAUUAUUGGGCGUAAAGAGCUCGUAGGCGGUUUGUCGCGUCUACUGUGAAAACCCGGGGCUCAACCCCGGGCCUGCAUUCGAUACGGGCAGACUAGAGUUCGGUAGGGGAGACUGGAAUUCCUGGUGUAGCGGUGAAAUGCGUAGAUAUCUGGAGGAACACCGGUGGCGAAGGCGGCAUCCUGGACCAACACUGACACUGAGGAGCGAAAGCCAGGGGAGCAAACGGG